GUGACUGCCGGUGACAAACSGCAGGAAGGWGGAGAUGACGUAUAAUCAUCAUGCCCCUUAUGACCUGGGCUACACACGUACUACAAUGGCCGGUACAACGGGAAGCGAAGUCGCGAGAUGGAGCGAAUCCUAGAAAAGCCGGUCUCAGUUCGGAUUGCAGGCUGCAACUCGCCUGCAUGAAGUCGGAAUUGCUAGUAAUCGCGGAUCAGCAUGCCGCGGUGAAUACGUUCCCGGGUCUUGUACACACCGNCCGUCACACCACGAGAGUUUACAACACCCGAAGUCGGUGAGGUAACCGCAAGGAGCCAGCCGCCGAAGGUGGGG
rnacentral:rRNA from 1 species